rnacentral:tRNA from 1 species
GCCCUUUUAGCUCAGCGGUAGAGCGCGUCCUUGGUAAGGACGAGGUCGCCGGUUCAAGCCCGGCAAAGGGCUCCA